UGGGGUGUCGCCAAGUGGUAAGGCAGCGGACUUUGACUCCGUUAUUCGCAGGUUCGAAUCCUCCCACCCCAG
rnacentral:tRNA from 2 species